rnacentral:rRNA from 1 species
GAUCCUUGCUCAGGAUAAACGCUGGCGGCGCACAUAAGACAUGCAAGUCGAACGGACUUAACCAUUAGUUUACUAUUGGAGCGGUUAGUGGCGGACUGGUGAGUAACACGUAAGCAACCUGCCUAUCAGAGGGGAACAACAGUUAGAAAUGACUGCUAAUACCGCAUAUGCCUAAGUACCACAUGGUACAAUAGGGAAAGGAGUAAUCCGCUGAUAGAUGGGCUUGCGUCUGAUUAGA